rnacentral:lncRNA from 1 species
CAGCGAGCCUGCUUCUGGGUCAGCCUCUGAGCCAGUGUGCUUUACUGUAAGCGUUAGAAACAUGACUUCUAACAUUACAGUUAAAGGAGGAAUGAUAUAUUUCAGUGAAGAAUCCCAGCUCAACGGGGCUCUUCUGAGAACUGCAGAAAACAGCUCUGGACUCCUCCCUCGGAGCACCCGCCCAGCUUCCCUCUCCUGGCGCAAAACCUUGAUGCAAGCGGCGUGUGCCACAGUCCCAGGGUCCUCUGGCUCGUUUGUAAAUCUGUCAGCUGAGGCUACCAACAAGUUCAGAACAAGUGCUGAACGUGGGGGACAGCGCGGCCACAGACACCCAGUGAGGGUGAGUCUUGUCUGGCAGAGAAGGGCGAGGCUGGGACGUGGCAGCCGGACUCAGCUUGACCACAAAUCUCUGCCCAGUGAAGGCCGCCAUGCCACUGAAUCCUGGGAAGAAAGCAACACAAACGCCUAAACUGGAAGGAGUAAAGGUGCCCUGCAAGGUAGGUCAAGGCUUCAACGGGUAAAUCUAGGUGGAAAUGGAUCCCAACCAUAGCACGGACCUCACAGGGCAGCAUGUGGGGUUCAGCCCAGCCUCCACCGAUGGGCAGGGACAUGGGGCUCCGGCAGCCCCGGGGCAGAGGAGAAAUGCAGCCAGCCCAGGGCCACGUGCUGGCUGAGCCUGAGAGCACCACGGGGACAGCCUCAGCCAGGCACUGCAGCUUCCGGCAGAGAAGCCCACCGGCACAGGUGGUAAAAAUAAAGACUGAAGAACCAGAAAGAGAAAGUAUUAACAAAAAUGCCAGUGAUCAACAAAGUGGAAAAAUUGAAUUUGUGUUCAAAGUAAUGAUAUUAAAAGGCAUUUGAAAAAUGCAACUGUCAAAAAUAAGUUUAUAAAAUAAAGGACAUAAUAGAAAA